AUUUACAUAGUUUAAUAACAAACAUUUUAUUUUCGUUAAAAAGAAGGUAUACCCACCUGUAAAUU
rnacentral:tRNA from 1 species